UACAAGAACAACUCAAAGUCUCUCUAUUUUUUUUUCUUCCAAACCUGAUUUCUUGGCACUUUCCAGUUCAAUUUUACAGUUGUAUUGUCUUCUCAACAAUAUCUUUCGAAAUCAGGAUGUCCUAGAGUUUGUCUCAAUGUACUCUCAAUUAGACAUAGAUCAAGAUCAAAUGAAGAUAGACAACGCAACAUGAGGACAGAACCAAGAACAUAAAAAAGAUAACAAGGAACAACUGCCAAAUUCAUUCCAAACAGCAGUAGCCUUGGUUAUUUCAUUUUCAUUUGGUAUCAUUGUGUCAAUUUUUACUGCUGCAUUUAUAGCAAAUUAUAAGGUGAGAUUGGCUGUGAAUGUGGCUGCAAUGAGCUUGUCAGUUGUCAUUGUUAGCAUUUGGAGGAAUUGGUACUUAUUAAGCACAAGUCCUAUGGUGAAAUCUUGUCCAAGAGUUUUAAUUGGAGGCAAGAUGGCUAUGGUCAUUACCUUUUGCCUUACCAAGCUGAUUGACUCUACUACAAGUAUUUCUUUCUAUUUUUAAUCUACGGUAUUUUUUU